rnacentral:misc_RNA from 1 species
GAAAUGCGAUAAGUAAUGUGAAUUGCAGAAUUCAGUGAAUCAUCGAAUCUUUGAACGCACCUUGCGCCUUUUGGUAUUCCGAAAGGCAUGCCUGUUUGAGUGUCAUUUCACCACUCAGGCCUCCGGCUUGGUGUUGGGUCACGUCCUUGGAGGCGGACCUCAAAGAUCGUGGCGAUGUUGCCUUGCCCCAAGCGUAUUGGAAUGCUCUUCUCGACUUGGCGGUACACGGUAACCUCUGCCGGCUGCUCAGCAGCCCGAACCUUCAAAGGUUGACCUCGGAUCGGGUAGGGAUACCCGCUGAACUUAA